rnacentral:rRNA from 1 species
AUACGUAGGUGGCGAGCGUUGUCCGGAAUUACUGGGCGUAAAGGGUGCGUAGGCGGAUAAUCAAGUCAGAUGUGAAAGUCCAUGGCUUAACUGUGGGAGUGCAUUUGAGACUGAAGAUCUAGAGUGCAGGAGAGGGAAGCGGAAUUCCUAGUGUAGCGGUGAAAUGCGUAGAUAUUAGGAAGAACACCAGUGGCGAAGGCGGCUUUCUGGACUGUAACUGACGCUGAAGCACGAAAGCGUGGGGAGCAAACAGGAUGAGAUACCCUGGUAGUCCACGCCGUAAAAGAUGAGUAUUAGGUGUAGGGGACGAUAGGCUUCUGUGCCGGAGCAAACGCAAUAAAUACUCCGCCUGGGGAGUACGGUCACAAGACUAAA